rnacentral:rRNA from 1 species
GAUGAACGCUGGCGGCGUGCCUAAUACAUGCAAGUCGAGCGAACAGACGAGGAGCUUGCUCCUCUGACGUUAGCGGCGGACGGGUGAGUAACACGUGGAUAACCUACCUAUAAGACUGGGAUAACUUCGGGAAACCGGAGCUAAUACCGGAUAAUAUAUUGAACCGCAUGGUUCAAUAGUGAAAGACGGUUUUGCUGUCACUUAUAGAUGGAUCCGCGCCGCAUUAGCUAGUUGGUAAGGUAACGGCUUACCAAGGCAACGAUGCGUAGCCGACCUGAGAGGGUGAUCGGCCACACUGGAACUGAGACACGGUCCAGACUCCUACGGGAGGCAGCAGUAGGGAUUCUUCCGCAAUGGGCGAAAGCCUGACGGAGCAACGCCGCGUGAGUGAUGAAGGUCUUCGGAUCGUAAAACUCUGUUAUUAGGGAAGAACAAAUGUGUAAGUAACUAUGCACGUCUUGACGGUACCUAAUCAGAAAGCCACGGCUAACUACGU